rnacentral:rRNA from 1 species
UACGGAGGGCGCAAGCGUUACUCGGAAUCACUGGGCGUAAAGCGCGCGCAGGCGGCUACUUAAGUUGGAUGUGAAAGCCUACGGCUCAACCGUAGAACUGCAUCCAAAACUAUUUAGCUAGAGUGUGGGAGAGGAAGAUGGAAUUAGUUGUGUAGGGGUAAAAUCCGUAGAGAUAACUAGGAAUACCAAAAGCGAAGGCAAUCUUCUGGAACAGUACUGACGCUGAGAUGCGAAAGCGUGGGGAGCAAACAGGAUUAGAUACCCCAGUAGUCC